CUCUCCCUGACCGCCGGUUCAUUCGGUAAUAAAUGCACUUACCAUCCACGGACCCCAGGCCCACCACAGCCGGCGGUUCAACCACUCCAACAGGUCCGAUCGACCGUGACAACUCCCUGAUUCCGGUCUGAUCCGGUCCCGUUCUCCAUUACGCCAUUAAUGGGCCAAAUCGUGCCCAAUUAUUACAAAACAGGACAAACCUCCUGUCACCUCCCAGGUAACAAAAAUCCUCCUAUAAAAGGAAACCUGGGGGGAAAAGGGAGG
rnacentral:lncRNA from 1 species